rnacentral:rRNA from 1 species
CAAUAGCGUAUAUUAAAGUUGUUGCAGUUAAAAAGCUCGUAGUUGGAUUUCUGGUUGAAGCGACCGGUCGGGCGUUGAUUCGUCUGCACUGGAGUCGGUUUUGGCCAUCCUCUAGGAAAGUGCGUCUGGUAUUAAGUUAUCGGGCGUAUGAUCCUGGUCUUUUACUGUGAAAAAAUUAGAGUGUUUAAAGCAGGCCUUCGCCUUGAAUACAUUAGCAUGGAAUAAUAAGAUAGGACUUUGGUCUAUUUUGUUGGUUUGCAGACCGAAGUAAUGAUUAAUAGGGAUAGUUGGGGGUAUUUAUAUUCCGAUGUCAGAGGUGAAAUUCUUAGAUUUUCGGAAGAUAAACUUAUGCGAAAGCAUUUGCCAAGGAUGUUUUCAUUGA